AUGCAUGUGUCAGUACACGCCGCACUAAGGCAAAACCGCGAAUGGCUCAUUAAAUCAGUUAUGAUUCAUUUGAUCUAAAACCCUUUUACUUGGAUAACCCUGGUAAUUCUAGAGCUAAUACAUGAUACCAAUACUCUGACUGGAAGGGAAGAGUGCUUUUAUUAGUUGAAAACCAGUCGGGCCUCGGUCCGUCAAACACAAAGUGUGGUGAUUCUGAAUAACUUUGAGCCGAGAGCACGGUCUCCGCACCGGCUCCUUAUCUUUCGAGUUUCUGCCUUAUCAUGCUGUGGACUGUAGGCCAUGCGCCUACAGUGGCUGUAACGGGUAACGGAGAAUCAGGGUUCGAUUCCGGAGAGGGAGCCUGAGAAACGGCUACCACA
rnacentral:rRNA from 1 species